CCUACGGGUGGCAGCAGUGAGGAAUAUUGGUCAAUGGACGCAAGUCUGAACCAGCCAUGCCACGUGAGGGAAGACGGCUCUAGGAGUUGUAAGCUGCUUUUGUACGAGGGUAAACGCAGAUACGAGUAUCUGUCUGAGAUUAUCGUACGAAUAAGGCACGGCUAACUCCGUGCCAGAAGCCGCGGUAAUACGGAGGAUUCAAGCGUUAUCCGGAUUUAGUGGGUUUAAAGGGUGCGUAGGCGGUGGGGUAAGUUAGAGGUGAAAUCCCGAGGCUCAACUUCGGAAUUGCCUCUGAUACUGUUCGGCUAGAGAGUAGGUGCGGUAGGCGGAAUGUAUGGUGUAGCGGUGAAAUGCUUAGAGAUCAGACAGAACACCGAUGGCGAAGGCAGCUUACCAAGCUACUUCUGACGUUGAGGCACGAAAGCGUGGGGAGCAAACAGGAUUAGAUACCCCUGUAGUC
rnacentral:rRNA from 1 species